UUAUCAGCUGAGUGAAUAAUUGUAGAUAAUGUAGAUAAUUGUAGAUAAUGCAUUCUUCACCGAAGAGCUUUUCAAUGGCUCUUUUGGCUAUGCAGAUGAAUAAGCCGAGAAUGGCACUGGGAGAAAACUGAUGUGUUUCAUUGUACUGUCUUCAUCCUCCAUGCAAGAUAGCCUGUGUUACACUGAGGGCCAUAGUAGUGUUCCUGUAUCACACCGUAAAACACACACUUGUUAAAUAUUAAUGAUUCAGAACCCAAGUUACCUACAAAUAAUAUCAAUUUAUACACACAUUUUGCAAAAACAUGACAAGACAAAAUAGAAAAAAGACUGAAAACUGUUAGAAAAUCUAUUCUGCACUAAUGAUUGAGAAAGAAUUAAUAAAAACUCAAAUAUCCAUUUUUUUGAGUAUGGAUCUUGUAAAUAUAGAAAAAGUGUCAUGAUUCCCAAUGCAUAAUUAGUUUGUACACUUGAUGGUGGAAUAACCUUUAAAAAACGUUAUAAGCAUUACAAGCAAUUGUCAGUGCUUGAAUCCAUAAUCAUUUUAGACAGGUUUAGGUUUUAAAUAAUAUUUAAGGGCAGAUUUUUAUGAAUUCUUGCCCAUGUGAGUCUAUCAUAUCUUCCACCAGACUGUUAACCAUCAGUUUCCAUUUUGUAUCUGUUUUAUCAUAUUCCAUGAAGAUUUCUUCACUCUGUGGAUAAGCCUUCAGAACAGUAGCAACCAUCUGCUGGGAUAGUACAGCAUAGUAACAUGGAGUCAGAAAAACAGUUUUUUGACCCUGCUAAAGAAAGAAAACACAACUUCUAAAACCACCUAAAACCAAGGAUAUCUGUAGAAGCUGAUGAAUUUGAUGAAACUGGGGACAGUGGAUUGGUGGGCACUACUGAAGAUGAUGAUUCAUCAGUGACCAGCUGAACAUGCAAAUCUACAAUACAUCAUAAAAUAAAAGGACAGCUUGCAUUAUUUUUUCUUUUCAAUCAGAUGAUAAUCAAUACAUUAGUAAAUGAGAACAGAUAA